AACGAGCGCAACCCUUAAGCUUAGUUGCCAUCAUUAAGUUGGGCACUCUAAGUUGACUGCCGGUGACAAACCGGAGGAAGGUGGGGAUGACGUCAAAUCAUCAUGCCCCUUAUGAUUUGGGCUACACACGUGCUACAAUGGACAAUACAAAGGGCAGCGAAACCGCGAGGUCAAGCAAAUCCCAUAAAGUUGUUCUCAGUUCGGAUUGUAGUCUGCAACUCGACUACAUGAAGCUGGAAUCGCUAGUAAUCGUAGAUCAGCAUGCUACGGUGAAUACGUUCCCGGGUCUUGUACACACCGCCCGUCACACCACGAGAGUUUGUAACACCCGAAGCCGGUGGAGUAACCUUUUAGGAGCUAGCCGUCGAAGGUGGGACAAAUGAUUGGGGUGAAGUCGUAACAAGGUAGCCGUAUCGGAAGGUGCGGCUGGAUCACCUCCUUU
rnacentral:rRNA from 1 species